GACGAACGCUGGCGGCGUGCCUAAUACAUGCAAGUCGAGCGCAGGAAACUGACGGAACUCUUCGGAGGGAAGGCAGUGGAAUGAGCGGCGGACGGGUGAGUAACACGUAAGGAACCUGCCUCAAGGAUUGGGAUAACUCCGAGAAAUCGGAGCUAAUACCGGAUAGUUCAACGGACCGCAUGGUCCGCUGAUGAAAGGCGCUCCGGCGUCACCUUGAGAUGGCCUUGCGGUGCAUUAGCUAGUCGGUGGGGUAACGGCCCACCAAGGCGACGAUGCAUAGCCGACCUGAGAGGGUGAUCGGCCACACUGGGACUGAGACACGGCCCAGACUCCUACGGGAGGCAGCAGUAGGGAAUCUUCCACAAUGGACGAAAGUCUGGUGGAGCAACGCCGCGUGAGUGAUGAAGGUUUUCGGAUCGUAAAACUCUGUUGUAAGGGAAGAACACGUACGAGAGGAAAUGCUCGUACCUUGACGGUACCUUACGAGAAAGCCACGGCUAACUACGUGCCAGCAGCCGCGGUAACAC
rnacentral:rRNA from 1 species